AUGGCUCAGGAUGAACGCUAGCUACAGGCUUAACACAUGCAAGUCGAGGGGCAGCAUGUUGGUGCUUGCAACCAAUGAUGGCGACCGGCGCACGGGUGAGUAACGCGUAUCCAACCUUCCCUAUAGUAGAGGAUAGCCCGGCGAAAGUCGGAUUAAUACUCUAUGUUUUCCAAUGCAGACAUCUAAGUUGGAACAAAGGUUCACCGCUAUAGGAUGGGGAUGCGUCUGAUUAGAUAGUCGGCGGGGUAACGGCCCACCGAGUCGACGAUCAGUAGGGGUUCUGAGAGGAAGGUCCCCCACAUUGGAACUGAGACACGGUCCAAACUCCUACGGGAGGCAGCAGUGAGGAAUAUUGGUCAAUGGGCGAGAGCCUGAACCAGCCAAGUAGCGUGCCAGGAUGACGGCCCUAUGGGUUGUAAACUGCUUCUAUACAGGGAUAAAGUGACGUACGUGUACGUUAUUGUAGGUACUGUAUGAAUAAGGACCGGCUAAUUCCGUGCCAGCCGCCGC
rnacentral:rRNA from 1 species